GCGGCUACCAGCACGUCCGAGAUGGCCAUGGACGCCAUCAGAUUGUGCGGAACGCGGUGAAACGUGCGCACGCGGAGAAUGGUCGCCAGCACCAGCAGGUUCCAGGCGAAUGUGGCCGCCACCAGGAAGCCCAGCAAGGUAAUUGAGGCUGAGCAUCCCAGAGUCCCAGAGUGGACGGGGGCGUUCGGAGAAAGUCUGUCGGUCGUAGGAAGGAUUCCGCAGAAGCUGGAGAGCCUGGGACUGCGGUGGCCACGGACGGGACUCCCAGGAAGUAGCAGGUUUGGAGCAGAUUCUUUGUUCUACAUGAGCAGGUGAGUAACAGAAGCAGAAGGAUCACCAAUAUCCCUAACAUUCACCCCUUAGAAUUUUCUUACAUGAUACCUGAACUAGAAGAGACUCUGACAUCAGGGAGAACACUCUGGGGCUUCCUCUCCUCUGGUUUUCU